rnacentral:lncRNA from 1 species
UCUUCGUCUCCAUGUUGAGCUUCCAAGAGAGAAAAAUCAAUGGUCCGGCGAUCCACACGAGCAGGCGUACCGGUCUUUAAGCGAUCUGUCUCAAACCCAAGUUGCUGCAAGUUCUCUGUCAAGCCUUGUGAAGCAGACUCGCCAGCUCUUCCAGCUGGCAUAGACUUUCUACCAACCCAAAUCUUCCCACUCAUAAAGGUUCCAGUGGUGAGAAUCACAGAAGGCGCAUAAAAGUUCAUCCCGAAAAAUGUCGCAACCCCUUCCACGUUGUCAUUCUUCCCAACAAGGAUAUCUGUUACCAUCGCCUCUCUAAUACUGAGAUUCUCAGUGCUGCCAUACCAAAAACAAAAAAAAUGCAGCUAUUACAAAACAUAUAAUUCCAAGAUUAUUAUUCCAAAAUAGCUUGUAAGUAGUAAAUUCAGUAUUUUACACAUGCUUAGAGAUUUAUAUGCAACAAAAAAAAAAAAUAGAUAUGUAAGCAAGACGUAUAGUAAUUAAGCUGACCUUUCCACAAUCUUUUUCAUCUCCAUGGCAUACUCUCUUUUGUCAGUCUGAGCACGUAAGGAUCUAACAGCAGGUCCUCUUGAGACAUUUAGAAUGCGCUUCUGUAAAUAGCAUCUGCACACCAUUAAACCGUUUCAGUAACAACAGUAACAAAGAAGAAACUAUGAUCAGUUAACAGUGUUUACUUUACACUGAAAACUACAUAUAACAACAGAGCUAGAUCUAUAAAAACUCAAUCUAAUCUCCAUUUCCUCAAUUUGUUUUGAAGAGAAGAAUCAUCAGCUGAGCUGGCGAAAACGUACCGAUCAGCGACUUUGCCAAUAUCACCACCAAGUGCAUCAACUUCAUGAACUAAUUGUGAUUUAGCUGGUCCACCAACGGCUGGAUUGCAAGGCUUUUCACGAAACAAGUAUAGUUAGUUAUCGGGAUUACCGUUGCUGCACAGUUGUGACAAGUAGUGUACAUACACAAACAAACCUGCCAAGCUAUACGAUCGAGGUUUAAGGUGAGGAGGAGAGUGCUAGCUCCCAAUCGAGCGGAGGCUAGAGCGGCUUCGCAUCCGGCGUGUCCAGCUCCAACCACAAUCACGUCGUAGUUCGAACCACCUAAAGAGAUUGAUUACUCGUUUAAGCCAAAAAGAAUUAAAUUAAAAAUCAGGAUGAGAGGUUUGGUGGUUGGGGAACCUGGUGAUGAGCUGAAGCUUGUGGCGUGAGGGCGAUUAAGGGAGAGUGUGCGAGGUCGGCAGCGUAGACGAGGAGAGUGGAGAGGGAAUGAGAUGGAGGAGAAGAGAAUAGAUGGGACAGUGGAAGAGAAGCUUCGGAGAUGCCGGAGACCUAAAGAGGUGGAGGCGGUGGUGGCUCUCAUCUCUAAACAGAAGCGGAAGUUGUGAGUGGUCGACGCAGCAAUUCAAUCGGGGAUAGAAGAUGAUUUGAGUUAUUGGAUUAGUGAAGGAAAUGGGCUAUUCUAUAAAAUGGGAAUAAGCUAAAUCCCCAAGGACCAAGCAAGAGUUUCUCUCUUCCCAACUUAAUUUAUAGUUUUGUCUAUGGUUUUUUUUGUAUACUUUCGUUGGAGAUUUCAUAUAGCAAGUAGAAUUUGGAAAACAUUUCGUUUGGAAAACAAAAAAAAUGAUAAGCUGGGUGCCAUCUGUUGUGGUCUUUAUUAGUUACUCUUAAUCUAGGUUUUGGUUUGGUUUAGAAGUAAAUUUUAAUCUUAUUAGUGAAAUUAAGUGGUGUAAGAGACGGUUCAGCUCGGGUCGUGGAAUAGAUUCGUUUUGUUGUAGUUAAAAAUACAAUGUUGUCUAAACUGGGUAGCAUAUGAUUUUUCUAAGUGUUUAUUUUGGAGUUGUAUGUGGGAUUUAGAUAUAGGUGAAGUUAAAAUUUUGUAUUCACAAUUUGGAUUAUGAAAGUUAAACUGAGAGACAGAAAAUAAAAACAUAUCCAGUAGAAAAAGUCUGUUAUGCUAAAAUUGUCUAAACCUUUUUGGCUCUUUUCUUUUAUUAUGCAGAACGUUGGAAACUUUUCGAUUCUGCUCAUGUACCGACGGUACACUACCGUCGUCGUUCUAUCCAUACCGGUUUGAUCCUCUUGAUCCUUCCUCCUUUCACCACCAAUUCUUUUUCCUUGUCUUCCACCUCAAAAUUUGGAUUUAAGACCCUCCCUAUAAAGUUUACAAAUCUCCUUCCGAACAACCUUAGCUAAUAGCUUCUGCUUCUUUAAACAGUGACAGACCAUAGAAAAUCGCAACAGAACAGACUCCAUGUACCCUUACAGUUAUCCUAAAAUCAAGUUUAAUUAAUAAAGCUGGGUUUGAGGAAACAAACAACAUUACACUCAGAAACGAGCUAACUCUCUUCUUGGCUUUCCCAUACUAGGAAUCUCAACGGCUUCCUAAUGAAACUUGAAUGUCAAAAAUCUCAUAGGAAGAACAAAAUACAUAGGUUUCAGAUGAAAUGGUGAGGAGGAUUAUUGUAAAGGGAUUUGGAGUGCAGAGAAUAUGGCUUGAAGGAAGAGAGGAUGCACAUCUUCUCCAGAGAACACCUCCAACUUCAACUUCUCCACGUGAGGCCAUAUCUACAGGACAUUGAACACACAAGUAAGAUUCUGUCAUUUCAUUAAAAUUUUACGCUCUUAACAACAUCCAACUCAAAUAACUUUUACCUCGUUCGCAUAUUGUCUUGUAAAUGCCGUAAGAUAUCCAAGUGUCGAUAAGCACCACUGUUCUCUCUCACCGAUCUCAGACUUUUUCUUUGGGUUUCCAUUUUCACUGUCCACCUCCAUCGCAGAUGAGUUUUCAUCUUCAGAUUUUAGAUCCUCCAUCGAUCUCGCUUUCGCUGGUUCUGGAAGCCGUUCUUUCAGGACUGCAGAGAAACUCUGGAACAGCAGGAGCAGUAGAGCCUAUAUGCACAAGGAAAAGUCAAUAAGGGAAUACAAAAAGAGACAGUACACUAGAAAGUUAUUUGAAUACCUCAGUUUCAGAGAGAGCUCUGUUAAGAAGAGCCUCUUUUGCCAAAGAAAACUAAAUGUAACUUGCCUUGUUAGCAUGCGGUAUGGCUCUCUGAGAUCCUUUGUGACUAAAUCGUCAAUCAAAGUGCCUAUAUAACUGCUUUCCCUCUCAAGAACAACGUGCUUCUUACCAUCGGAAUGUCUGGCAGCAUUGAUUCCAGAUAUAAUACCCUAUAUUUCAAUAAAUAACAGACCAAUGAUACAUAACCGCAGUUUUCAUUGUAUUGACAUAUAUUUUCUUUCCAUAUCAUCAGAGUAAAAUUAUUAUCAAGACCCAUCAUUAAGGAAGUUAAAGUCUGCUACAGAUCAGUCACCUGUGCGGCAGCUUCUUCGUAACCAGUUGUGCCGUUGAUCUGACCAGAGAAGAAAAGACCAUCAAUUUUCUUCGUCAUAAGGGACCUUGAACACUGAUGAGCUGGCAAAUAAUCAUACUCAACAGCAUAGGCAGGCCUUAGCAUGGCGCAAUUUUCGAGUCCUGGCAAGCUUCUUAGAAGUGGCAGCUGGAGAUUCUCCGGCAGACCAGUUGAAAAUCCCUAUGGAAAAUUUACAACUUGAUAAGAAUGAUAGUGAUUUCAGAGUACAUUGCAUUCUAAUAAAUCACUCAUAAAAAAUAUUUUAGCCUUGAAUACUUAAAAUAUCAAUGCAUAGAUUAGCCACUGAGUACUUAGCAAACAAGCUAAGAUAUCUGCUCUAGUCUUGAAAACUUAACUUACAGACCCUCACAUUAAACUACAGACAACUUCUGAGUAGUAAAAAACUUCAGGCUUGCUCUAACUAUCAAUAAAGAACAUUCCUGAAUCAUAUGUUUUAGAUAUUUUCAUAGAGACCCAAGCUAGAUUCCUUUCUUCAUCCUUAGGUUUCACACUUUUUCCCUACCAGAGAUGAUUAACAGUUAGCGAAAUCAUAACUAAGGUAUGCAUCAACCUGCACAUAGAUCUCUGGAACAUCUCGGCCCUCUGGUUCCAGGAAUAUUUGAUGCGACUCUUUGUCUUUAAACCUAACAAUCUGAAACCAAAUAAGAUAUAAAGAGUAUAAAUUUACUUAAUCAAAAGUAGUUUAUGAGAAAGAUGGUUCAACAGUUUUUUAGGUACCGACUGUAGAAAAAGUGAGUGCAAGAUUUUCAAAACAUUCCUGUUUUGUUACUCCUACAUAGCUUAACCUCAACCCAUUUUUCUUCCUAUUUCUUUUGGAGAUCUUCUUGAUUCUAUCACAAAAACUCAACAGCCCAAUUGAUCUCUUCCACCCCCUACUACUACUACUACAACACACGCUUCCGUUAGCCUUUAACUAUUAUGUAUCAUUAUUUAUGCAUCAGCAUAUGUGUGCAUGUUGGAGACGGAAAUAGUCUUAAAAUCACAUUGUCUGGCAAAUUCGGGUUUCACUAGUCUUUCUCACAAUGUGAUUCCACUCAUAAACAUUGACAAGUAUAUCAAGAACAAUCAGCUCAAUAACAUGAAAGGUAGAUGAACCAUGGCUGAUGUAACUUCCUCUCGGUCCACGAAAGAGAUAAUAACACAAAGAAAAAGAGGUAAAGCAUAUGCACAGAAAAGAAUAUACCUUGUCUUCAAUGGAAGGGCAGUACCUAGGACCCUUUGCUUCAACCCAUCCACCAUACGUUGGGGUCUCAUGCAAAUUGUCCCUGAUCAAUUGGUGUGUAAACUCUGUUGUGCGAGUCAAGUAGCAGCACAUUUGCUCUCUCUCAAUAUGAAAGUCUGGGUCGAAACUAAACCAGCUGACCUGGGAAAAGGAACAUUAAUGUUCAGCAUCUUCAAAUACAAAAGGUUCAUGAAUCACCUUGGUUAGAUACCAGAAAAAAUAAAAUAUUGUUCUAAUGAUGAGAAAUCUAUUUAUAAAGUGUACAAAACUUAAGCAAUGCCUAAGUGGCUACUCAUUGACUGAAUCGCUUUAGCCCAUGUAACCAUACCAUAAUGAUAUUUAUUUAAGUGUAAGUAAUAAUACCUCUUCGUCUCCAUGUUGAGCUUCCAAGAGAGAAAAAUCAAUGGUCCGGCGAUCCACACGAGCAGGCGUACCGGUCUUUAAGCGAUCUGUCUCAAACCCAAGUUGCUGCAAGUUCUCUGUCAAGCCUUGUGAAGCAGACUCGCCAGCUCUUCCAGCUGGCAUAGACUUUCUACCAACCCAAAUCUUCCCACUCAUAAAGGUUCCAGUGGUGAGAAUCACAGAAGGCGCAUAAAAGUUCAUCCCGAAAAAUGUCGCAACCCCUUCCACGUUGUCAUUCUUCCCAACAAGGAUAUCUGUUACCAUCGCCUCUCUAAUACUGAGAUUCUCAGUGCU